GAUGAACGCUGGCGGCGUGCCUAAUACAUGCAAGUCGAGCGAACAGAUGAGGAUCUUGCUCCUCUUACGUUAGCGGCGGACGGGUGAGUAACACGUGUAUAACCUACCUAUAAGACUGGGAUAACUUCGGGAAACCUGAUCUAAUACCGGAUAAUAUAUUGAACCGCAUGGUUCAUUAGUGAAAUACGGUUUUGCUGUCACUUAUAGAUGGUUCCUCGCCGCAUUAGCUAGUUGGUAAGGUAACGGCUUACCAAGGCAACGAUGCGUAGCCGACCUGAGAGGGUGAUCGGCCAGACUGGAACGGAGACACGGUCCAGACGACUACGGGAGGCAGCAGUAGGGAAUAUUCCGCAAUGGGCGAAAGCAUGACGGAGCAACGCCGCGUGAGUGAAGAAGGUCUUCGGAUCGUAAAACUCUGUUAUUAGGGAAGAAAAAAAGUGAAAGAAAAUAUGCACGUAUUGACGGUACCAAAUAAGAAAGCAACGGCUAACUACGUG
rnacentral:rRNA from 1 species